ACACAGAUGGGAAAGCCAUCCUCAGGUUGACACACCUAAGUUCCAACACUUCAAGGUAGUAAGUAAGUAAUUCUUUCUUUUCUAGAGACCCUCACUGCAAAAUCUCACCCGGAAGACUUCAGGGACUGGAUAUCGGUAUUAUCUGGGUAAAAAAUGCCCCUCUGGUAAAUCAGCUGUGCCAAGAGGAUGCGGCUUAUAUGGAAGAGCUUGGGACCCAAGCAUUUGGAGGAUAAGAGGAUGUGGCUUUAUCCCCAGAAGAAACUCGCCAACCUCAAGUUGGAAGUCAAGGCUUCUGAAACCGACGUGGGAGAGGGGAGAAGUAGAGUCUAACUCUCAACACUUACACAGGUGGGCUAAACCAGUUAUCCACUCUCUCCUCCCACUACCCUUCACCAGGAAUUCACUUUCCUGGUGUUGAUUCCCUGGAGCAGUCUUUCUGAACUCCAAGGUCAUGGUCACCCUGUUCCACUUCCCAAGCAUGUCCUUCUCCAGCCCUACGACACACAGAAGCCUAUGGACUUCUCAUCAUACAUCAUAAGGGCUUCUUCUUUGAGUCCUGGGUCACCCCAUCUCAUAUUAGUAAACUAAGACAACCAAGUAUCUUUAAUCACCAUGGGUUUUUUUCAGUGGGGGAAGCGAAGGGGCAAAAAGUAUGGAGGUCUAAGCCUCACCUUUCUGAAGAUUCAGUUAGUUCCAAUAGAGGAAGGGACUUGCACGGCUCAUAAGGAUUUUUCAAAGUAGCAGCUCGAAGGCAGCACAUAGGAGCAUUUCACAGCUGCAUCCCUCCUUGACAAUCCUGCCUCUUCUACAAAGCUAAGAAUACUCCUCAACUAACCCUCAGUCCUUGAGGAGGAGAAGCCUGAGAAGAUAGAAUUUGAUCCUGCAGAAUAAAUGGCAGGAAUUAGUCGAGUCACAGCUGUGUCUCUCUGAAAUGUGGGGUUUUUUUCCAUUAGGAUGUUGCUUUUCUCAACAUGAAUAUAAAAUACAGUCCAGGAACAGUGGCUCACACCUGUAA